rnacentral:snoRNA from 1 species
UCUCUCUCGGUGUCGCACCUGGAGAGUUUCCAGUACUAUACCAGUCUCUACUUCGGGAGGGAGAGUCAAGCAGAGGCCUAUCCAUUCCAUUCCUAGCUUGAGCUGUGGCUAGUGAGUGGAAGGCCAUCUGUUACAAGU